rnacentral:rRNA from 1 species
UAUGGUUAAGUGACUAAGCGUACACGGUGGAUGCCUUGGCAGUCAGAGGCGAUGAAAGGCGUAAUAACUUGCGAUAAGCCCAGAUUAGGUAGUAAUAACCUUUUGAGUCUGGGAUUCCUGAAUGGGGAAACCCACUUACAUAAGUAAGUAUCCUGUUGUGAAUACAUAGCAACAGGAGGCAAACCGGGGGAACUGAAACAUCUAAGUACCCCGAGGAAGAGAAAUCAACCGAGAUUCCGAAAGUAGCGGCGAGCGAAAUUGGAUUAGCCCUUAAGCUUUUAAUGAGACAGAUGAAGGCUCUGGAAAGUGCCGCAA